AAUCAGUGAUGAGCUUCCACUUCAGGUCCGUGUUUUUGAACUCUAUGAUACUAAUGAAGGUCUGAGUCU